rnacentral:rRNA from 1 species
UACGUAGGGGGCAAGCGUUAUCCGGAUUCACUGGGCGUAAAGGGAGCGCAGGCGGCACGGCAGGUCCGGUGUGAAAGCCCGGGGCCCAACCCCGGGACUGCACUGGAAACUGCCGGGCUGGAGUGUCGGAGGGGCAGGCGGAAUUCCUGGUGUAGCGGUGAAAUGCGUAGAUAUCAGGAGGAACACCGGUGGCGAAGGCGGCCUGCUGGACGAUGACUGACGCUGAGGCUCGAAAGCGUGGGGAGCAAACAGG